rnacentral:rRNA from 1 species
UACGAAGGGGGCGAGCGUUGUUCGGAUUUACUGGGCGUAAAGGGCGCGUAGGCGGCCCUCCUAGUCGCGUGUGAAAUCCCCAGGCUUAACCUGGGAACUGCGUCUGAUACUGGAUGGCUUGAAUUCGGGAGAGGGAUGCAGAAUUCCAGGUGUAGCGGUGAAAUGCGUAGAUAUCUGGAGGAAUACCGGUGGCGAAGGCGGCAUCCUGGACCGACAUUGACGCUGAGGAGCGAAAGCUAGGGGAGCAAACGGG